rnacentral:rRNA from 1 species
CUGGAGACAGGUGCUGCAUGGCUGUCGUCAGCUCGUGUCGUGAGAUGUUGGGUUAAGUCCCGCAACGAGCGCAACCCUUGCCUUUAGUUGCCAGCAGUCCGGCUGGGCACUCUAAAGGGACUGCCGGUGUUAAACCGGAGGAAGGUGGGGAUGACGUCAAGUCCUCAUGGCCUUUAUGACCAGGGCUACACACGUACUACAAUGGCCGAUACAAAGGGCGGCGACACUGCGAGGUGAAGCCAAUCCCGCAAAAUCGGUCUCAGUCCGGAUUGGAGUCUGCAACUCGACUCCAUGAAGUUGGAAUCGCUAGUAAUCGCGCAUCAGCCAUGGCGCGGUGAAUACGUUCCCGGGCCUU